rnacentral:rRNA from 1 species
CAUUAAAUCAGUUAUCGUUUAUUUGAUAGUACCUUACUACUUGGAUAACCGUGGUAAUUCUAGAGCUAAUACAUGCUAAAAAUCCCGACUGUUUGGAAGGGAUGUAUUUAUUAGAUAAAAAAUCAAUGCUUUCGGGCUCUUUGAUGAUUCAUAAUAACUUUUCGAAUCGCAUGGCCUUGUGCUGGCGAUGGUUCAUUCAAAUUUCUGCCCUAUCAACUUUCGAUGGUAGGAUAGUGGCCUACCAUGGUUUCAACGGGUAACGGGGAAUAAGGGUUCGAUUCCGGAGAGGGAGCUGAGAAACGGCUACCACAUCCAAGGAAGGCAGCAGGCGCGCAAAUUACCCAAUCCCGACACGGGGAGGUAGUGACAAUAAAUAACGAUACAGGGCCCUUUUGGGUCUUGUAAUUGGAAUGAGUACAAUGUAAAUACCUUAACGAGGAACAAUUGGAGGGCAAGUCUGGUGCCAGCAGCCGCGGUAAUUCCAGCUCCAAWAGCGUAUAUUAAAGUUGUUGCAGUUAAAAAGCUCGUAGUUGAACCUUGGGCUUGGUUGGCCGGUCCGCCUUUUCGGCGUGUACUGGACCCAACCGAGCCUUUCCUUCUGGCUAACCUCUCGCCCUUGUGGUGUUUGGCGAACCAGGACUUUUACUUUGAAAAAAUUAGAGUGUUCAAAGCAGGCCUUUGCUCGAAUAUAUUAGCAUGGAAUAAUAGAAUAGGACGUUAUGGUUCUAUUUUGUUGGUUUCUAGGACCAUCGUAAUGAUUAAUAGGGACGGUCGGGGGCAUCAGUAUUCAGUUGUCAGAGGUGAAAUUCUUGGAUUUACUGAAGACUAACUACUGCGAAAGCAUUUGCCAAGGACGUUUUCAUUAAUCAAGAACGAAAGUUAGGGGAUCGAAGAUGAUCAGAUACCGUCGUAGUCUUAACCAUAAACUAUGCCGACUAGGGAUCGGGUGUUGUUCUUUUUUUGACGCA